UUGUCUUUGGGUUUGGCAAAGCCACCCACACAGCAAAAAGCAGCCUUUUACCUCUUCAGUUUCCUGGAUGGUACCCAGGGAAUCAAUCUUCUCAUCCUGCCAAGACAGGUCACUCCUGCUGUCUGGGCCAAGAUCAACUCACAAAGCGCUCUCCAGACAACGCCAACACCUGUACCAGCUUCUGGGACUUCACUAUUGCCACCUGCCUUCUCAUCUCCCUCAAGAAACAGCUGCCUGAGGACUCCAGGAUGACAGUAAACUGGAUGCUGCUCCAGCCACACCUCUCGCUGAGCGUGAGCCCACCAAUCCAACUCCCAGUUCUCUCUUCUCCAAUGCCGCCCCAUGCCUGCAGGAAGUAGCCAGACUUGAGCCGAUGCCCCUUUAUUCAAGGAGUCUGGGAUGUUUGGGGAAAGCAUCACCCCAGGCUCUGGCACCCAUCUUUGGAGUGCCAAUGGAGCAGGAAUGGAGCAGAAAGCUCCAGCUCAAGAUCCCUCCCCUGGGAGUUGCCUUGGUCCAGACUCCACCUCCGGAAAAGCCUGCAAAACGCUGACCCCCUCCCCAGGGAGGGUCAGGACCACUCCCAUAGGCUAUUUAGGCUGCUGCCCAGAAAAGGAACACGUGGUCUCCAAGUUUUGCAUGGUCUCCCCUGUUCUUUCCUUUGCCAUGCUUCCCUGGGCCACCCAGGAGCACUGCAUUAAACAUGGGCAUCUUUUA